rnacentral:lncRNA from 1 species
CCUCAGUUUCCCUUCUCCAAGAAUGUUUUUAAAGCAGCACCUCUUCAGAGUGUAUUUAAGAUUGUUUCUCUCCCAGUGGCUCAGACCUACAUUUGGAGUUGCUGACACUGUUUGUAGGUGUUCAUCCAGACCUGGGCUCCUCAAUAAAAGACUGAGACAAAGCUACUGGAAAUAAUCCAACAAAGGGCUAAGAAGAUGAUUUGGAACCGGAGCACCUCUACUAUGAGAAAAGGCUGAGAGAUGUGGGGCUGCUCAGCCUGGAGAAGAGGAGGCUCAAGGGGUAUCUCAUCAAUGUGUACAAAUACCUGAAGUGCGGGUGCAAAGAGGAUGGAGCCAGGCUCUUUUCAGUGGUGCUUAGUGACAGGACAAAUUGAUUUAGUUCCUCCUUGAAAGGUGAAAAAUAAGUGGCUUUUCAUUGCUGAACCUCAAAGCUCAGUUGUGGUUGAUGGUUAUAGUGUCCAUGGAUUACCCUUAGAAAAAGUAAGGGAAAAAAUAUUGCUGUCAGAUACGCCUAUCCAUUCUUGUUAGUCAAGUUUUUCAAGAUUACUUCAAGAAGAGAAAUGUGCUUUUAGAAAAAGAAAAGGCAAGGUUCAUCCAUCCUUCCCCACCCAUGCAGGAGCAGACUUGCUGAAGAACAAACUCCAUUUGUAGAAGUACUUUUGAGUUGGGUCAAAACCAAACUCGAUGUGGAAAAUUUCUUUCAAACUCCAUAGGCAGUGAUGAGGAAUGAGAGAAAAAAAAACAGAAAGAAUCUUCCAUAGGCUUAGGGUUUGCAUUUAACUGAGAUUAUUUUGCUGUGCCUGUCAGUUUAUUGCACUGCAGGUUACUUUUUAGCUAGGUUGGUGGUUUGUGAGUGUCUAGUCAAAUGAGUGGUAAACUUUUGCUCUGAAUGCAAUGCUUUAACACAGUUCCCUGGAUUUACACUGAUAUAAACCUCCUGGAAGUUGUGCUUUCUCUGCAGACCUAACAGAGGUUAUGAACAGUACUUCUGAAAUCAGCAUUUAAAUAACAUUUCAAAACCACUAGAAACCUCAUUAUCCUGAAUAUAUAGUUUUAGUAGUCAUACAAGCAGUGAAAAUGCAGCGAACCAAAAGUGCAACUUGUAACUGGACAAAGCAACACCACUGCGUAAAUACUAUGUUGAUAAACAUCCAAUUAACCACUAGGUACCCUGA